CCUACGGGAGGCAGCAGUGGGGAAUAUUGGACAAUGGGGGCAACCCUGAUCCAGCCAUGCCGCGUGUGUGAAGAAGGCCCUCGGGUUGUAAAGCACUUUCAGUGAGGAAGAACGCCUGGUGGUUAAUACCCAUCAGGAAAGACAUCACUCACAGAAGAAGCACCGGCUAACUCCGUGCCAGCAGCCGCGGUAAUACGGAGGGUGCGAGCGUUAAUCGGAAUUACUGGGCGUAAAGCGCGCGUAGGUGGCUUGAUAAGCCGGUUGUGAAAGCCCCGGGCUCAACCUGGGAACGGCAUCCGGAACUGUCAAGCUAGAGUGCAGGAGAGGAAUGUAGAAUUCCCGGUGUAGCGGUGAAAUGCGUAGAGAUCGGGAGGAAUACCAGUGGCGAAGGCGGCCUUCUGGACUGACACUGACACUGAGGUGCGAAAGCGUGGGUAGCAAACAGGAUUAUAUACCCGAGUAGUC
rnacentral:rRNA from 1 species